rnacentral:rRNA from 1 species
ACGUGAUCUGAGUUCAGACCGGAGUAAUCCAGGUCAGUUUCUAUCUAUAAAGAGCUUUUUCUAGUACGAAAGGACCGAAAAAGCGUGGCCAAUGCUAAAAGUAAGCCACUAAAUAUAUUUAUGAUUUUUAACUUAAUAAAUAAUUAUUCUAUUAUAUGUCCUUAGACAAAGGA